rnacentral:rRNA from 1 species
GAUGAACGCUGGCGGCGUGCCUAAUACAUGCAAGUCGAGCGAACAGACGAGGAGCUUGCUCCUCUGACGUUAGCGGCGGACGGGUGAGUAACACGUGGAUAACCUACCUAUAAGACUGGGGUAACAUCGGGAAACCGGAGCUAAUACCGGAUAAUAUAUUGAACCGCAUGGUUCAAUAGUGAAAGACGGUUUUGCUGUCACUUAUAGAUGGAUCCGCGCCGCAUUAGCUAGUUGGUAAGGUAACGGCUUACCAAGGCAACGAUGCGUAGCCGACCUGAGAGGGUGAUCGGCCACACUGGAACUGAGACACGGUCCAGACUCCUACGGGAGGCAGCAGUAGGGAAUCUUCCGCAAUGGGCGAAAGCCUGACGGAGCAACGCCGCGUGAGUGAUGAAGGUCUUCGGAUCGUAAAACUCUGUUAUUAGGGAAGAACAAAUGUGUAAGUAACUAUGCACGUCUUGACGGUACCUAAUCAGAAAGCCACGGCUAACUACGUG